CAGUGAAGUCUCCCCGAGCUCCUGCAGCCCUUCAACCUCCCGGCAGAACAAUGAGACGCCAUCCUGCUCCGUCAGGACCAGCAGAGAACAAUUUGAGGCCAAGUACCUGCAGCUUCUCAAGCUCGGAGAAGGCGGCCAAGGAACGGUUUAUGCUGGAGAAAGAAAAACUGACAACUUACCAGUGGCGAUCAAACGCAUCCCUAAAGCUGAUGAGAAGACUCGACC